AUGGGAUGGGUAGACUCCCCGAUUCCUGCUCCAAACACUAAGAUACACUUUAAAAUCUCUCUCUCUCUCUCUCUCUCUCUCUCUCUCUCUCUCUCUCUCUCUCUCUCUCUCUCUCUCUCUCUCUCUCUCUCCUCUCCCUCUCUCUCUCUCUCUCUCUCUCUCUCUCUCUCUCUCUCUCUCUCUCUCUCUCUCUCCUUCCCUCCCUCUUUCUCCCUCUCUCCUCUCUCCCUCUCUCUUCUCUCUCCCUUUUUCUUCCUCCCUCUCUCUUCUCUCUCCCUUCUCUCUCUCCUCUUUAUUUUUCUUCCUCUUUUUCUUCUCUCUCCCUCUUUCUCUCUCCCCCUCUCUCUCUACCUCUCUUCUCUCCCACUUUCUCUCUCUCCCUCUCUCUCUAUCUUUCUCCCUCUCUCUUCUCUCUCUCUCCCCUCUCUCUGUCCCCCUUUUCUCUCCCCCCUCUUUCUUCCCCCUCUCUUCCCUCUCUCUCCUCUCUCUCUCUCCCUCCCUCUCUCUUCUCUCUCUCCCUACCUCUCUCCCUCCCUCCCUCCCUCCCUCCCUCCCUCUCUGACUGUUUCUCUGUCUCAAAAUAGAUUAACUAACUGAAUCCAAGUAAAGAUAUGAGUUGUCCAAAGUCACACGUAUCGUGAGGUGCAUGAUUUCCUGAAGAACUUGGUCCUCUGACUCUAAAUCCAACACUCUCCAAAACCAAACUGCUUCCCUAUAAAUUCUUAUCUUUCCUAUUAGUAUUCACAAUUUAUUUUUUAGUUACCGAUCAUUUGAUGGCAUAUGAGACAUAAUGUAGUUCUUCUCCCAAACUAACCAGACAUUUCAACAGUACAACUUUUGUGAAGAUGAAAUAACAAAAUGUAUGUAAAGAAUUGGAAAACCUUAAAGAGCUAUGAAAAUCGCAGCUGUCAUUAGCAUUUCUGAAAAUGAUCUCAGAUUCCCUAAAUCUACCCUUUCCCCCCUUGCCAUUUAUAACCUGCUAUGAACUUGGAUAAUCUGACUUUGCCAUUUGCUCAGUUUGUUAGCAUCCCUUAGUCUGCUUACCAGACUGUAACAAUAUUAGGCAACUAUGAAAGCCCCACUCAGUUUCAGGUGUGUGGAGGAAAAAUUAUUUUAAGUGCAAUUAUAGGCCACUGCUCUCACUCAGACACUAACCCCCUGUUUGUCCAUCUAACGCCACCACUCACUCCAGGCACUGAAUAUUCAGUCACGGAUAAAAAGGAAUCGGUGCAGAAGGCCAAAUUGGUUGAGCAGGCUGGGCGCCAUGAUUCCAUGGAAUCUUGCAUCAUCUGUCAGUGAGCCAGGAGCCUUCAUUGGCCAAUAACUGGAGGAACAUCCUCUCUGUUCUUACAAAAACACCUUAGGGGCCCAAAGGUCAUCUGAAGGGCCAUUUCAAGUUUUGAGCAAAAGAUGGAAGGUGCUGAGGAAAAACAGCUGUUGGCCCAAGAGAGAGAAAGUUGAGGCACAAGUAAGAGAUCUGCAAUGAUGUGCUGGGUCUAAUGGGAACGUUCUUCAUUCCUAAUACUUCACAAGCAGAAAGCAUUCUAUUGAAAAUGAAAGGAGUCUGUCCCUCUUACUCGUCUGACUUUGCUUCUCAUGAUGACAAGAAAGGACUAGUGGAUUAAUCACAAACAAACCUAUCAAGAAGCAUUUGAAAUCAGCAAAAAGGAGAUACAGUCAAUGCAUCCCAUAGGAUUGGGUCUCUGUUCCAUUAUGAGAUCCUCAGCCAAAGAACGAUAGUUGUCUCCUUUCAUUUUCAACUUGCUCUAGAGAAGUAAUUGGAAGAAGAAAUUGAGAAGUAAAUUAGAACUUCAUCUGCUGUUCACUUUUAUUAAUUUUGCUACAUUCAUUUUAUUUCUAUUUCAAUGAAUUAGGCAGUCUAAACAUAAAUACAUGAGUGGAGAUUCAGUAAAAAUGAAUUGCUUGAUAUUCAUGAAAUCAUUGUAUAUCCAGCACAACACAAUGAACAUCCCCCAAAUAAAAACCCCAACAACUCAUGGAUUUAACUUUAU
ensembl:lncRNA